GGUCAGAAGGAAGAGGAAGAAGUCUCAUAUGCCACGUUGCCACGAUUUCUACACGUAGACUGAAAUUUGGCACUGAGAACCGAUGUAAUUUGUUAAGGAAAGUAUUUGCUCAUAAAGAAGCAAGAACCCAAGGUCUAAACGCGUUUUCCGUCUUAAACAAAGCAAGACGACAAAGCAGUGCCUCGUAACAACCGUCUACGAUGAGAUUGGACGCGCUCCCAGAAAAGACAUCAGAUUCGUGUUCGCCAGCGCCCGCACCCAUGUCAACGUUGUUUUGCGUGUCGAAGUUUGUCGUAUAGUCAACUUGCAGGGUUGACAUUUGAUUUGGUUUGAAAUGUAAUGUUUGCUUUAGGUUGUAAUAUUCUGCAUCAAAACGUGCAUCGAAUGAAGUACAGCGUGUAACAAAUGUUUUAUGCAUGGAACUUCUA